GCUCCCGCUGAACCGGAUAUGAUUCUUUCUCCGUUUCACUGUUGUCGUUGCACGGCCAAUGGCGGGCGGUGCCUGAGCAUUUAUCUGAAAAACGUACGUUUCGCUCAAAUAUACUUGAAUAUCGAUCGGCCAUUUAAAGCUUUUAGAUCGCACGUGUGUUUUGGCCUAUCAGCAUGGAUGUGAAUUUGACCAUCUCUCUGAUGCGGGGCCAGAUGGGCGCUGUUAUUGAGAAAGCCGUGAACGUCGCAGUGGAGACCGUGUUAGGAGAAAUGAUCCGGGUGGUCGGGCUCAAAUUUGAGGAGAUCAAACGGGAGAUGACAGCUAAAGAGAAGGAGAAUGAGAACAUCAAGAGGAUGUUGGAGACGUCCCGCUGUCAGAUGAAAACUAUGCGCAAGUACAUCAGCGUCCUGUCUGUUAAAGAGCCCAACCACAGACUGUAUCAGGGAGAUGGAGACAUGGCAACAACAUCCACAGGGAUGCACUGCAGAAGAGGGCCGAUGAGCAAUCCCCCAAACCCCUGUCCCUGUCCCAGACCUAGAUUCUCUGAGCCAGCCCCUGUAACGUUAGCUGGACCCUCAUGGGUGAGACAGCAGAUGCACAUGUCCAAAGAAACAUUAAGACGUGAGAAUCACAUUCCUGAGGUCAAUCUUGAAGAGACCCAUGGAUCAACAGUUCAUAAAGUUGAGAACUCAAGCUCUCAUCUGGUGGACAGUCAGGCGCUUCUCUCUGAGACCAUUGAUCCAAUCUGGGGUCAGGACCCUCUCGCCUCUGCAGAGACUGGACACACAGACAUGCUGGACAGCAACGUCCUCUCUGCACCCAUGAUGGCAGAUGAAAAUGUGUCAUCCCAAACGACAAGCACAUUGACCUUUGGAGCACCAUCACUUAAAAUCAAACAGGAGGAGGCGGAGGUUGAAAUAGUCUGUGUGAAAGAUGAACCCACAGAAGCUGGAAGCAUACAUACAUUUGAAUAUUCCAACGCUGAACUUCACCAGCCAGCGGAAGAACCAGAGCUCGGGGUCUCACUAGAUCUACGCGCAUCAUUUCAAGCUCUUCAGAGUUCAAGCACUUCAGCAGACCUUGCAAUCCCAGCAUUCAUCAGUGUGGACCCAACUACCUGGCUGUUCAUGAUUUUUACACGUCGCAAGCCAUUCCAUGAUGGGGAUCACAAGAGAAAUGCAUCAACAAAAACAGGUGAGUCUAGCUGCUUUACUUAAACUUUAAAGGCCACUCUGACAUUACUGCACUCAGAGU
rnacentral:lncRNA from 1 species